rnacentral:rRNA from 1 species
UACGUAGGGUGCGAGCGUUGUCCGGAAUUAUUGGGCGUAAAGAGCUCGUAGGCGGUCUGUCGCGUCGGUCGUGAAAACUUGGGGCUUAACCCUGAGCUUGCGGUCGAUACGGGCAUGACUGGAGUUCGGCAGGGGAGACUGGAAUUCCUGGUGUAGCGGUGAAAUGCGCAGAUAUCAGGAAGAACAUCGGUGGCGAAGGCGCUCUGCUGGACCAUAACUGACACUCAGGGACGAAAGCUAGGGGAGCGAAUGGG